rnacentral:tRNA from 1 species
UGGGGGUAUAGCUCAGUUGGUAGAGCGCCGCCCUUGCAGGCGGAUGUCAGCGGUUCGAGUCCGCUUACCUCCAACC